rnacentral:rRNA from 1 species
CCUACGGGUGGCAGCAGUGAGGAAUAUUGGUCAAUGGACGCAAGUCUGAACCAGCCAUGCCGCGUGCAGGAAGACGGCCCUAUGAGUUGUAAACUGCUUUUGUACGAGGGUAACAGCAGAUACGCGUAUCUGUCUGCAAGUAUCGUACGAAUAAGGACCGGCUAACUCCGUGCCAGCAGCCGCGGUAAUACGGAGGAUCCAAGCGUUAUCCGGAUUUAUUGGGUUUAAAGGGUGCGUAGGCGGUCGGAUAAGUUAGAGGUGAAAUCCCGAGGCUCAACUUCGGAAUUGCCUCUGAUACUGUUCGGCUAGAGAGUAGUUGCGGUAGGCGGAAUGUAUGGUGUAGCGGUGAAAUGCUUAGAGAUCAUACAGAACACCGAUUGCGAAGGCAGCUUACCAAGCUACUUCUGACGUUGAGGCACGAAAGCGUGGGGAGCAAACAGGAUUAGAUACCCGAGUAGUC